UACAGAGGAGCCAAGCGUUGUCCGGAAUCAUUGGGCGUAAAGAGCGUGUAGGCGGCCCGGUAAGUCCGCUGUAAAAGUCAAAGGCUCAACCUUUGAAUGUCAGUGGAUACUGCCGGGCUAGAGUCCGGAAGAGGCGAGUGGAACUCCUGGUGUAGCGGUGGAAUGCGCAGAUAUCAGGAGGAACACCGGUGGCGAAGGCGGGUCUCUGGGCCGAUACUGACGCUGAGGAGCGAAAGCGUGGGUAGCAAACAGG
rnacentral:rRNA from 1 species